AGUUGUAGUUGGACACUAUACCUUUAUUUUAUUUAUUUAUUUUAAUGUGGUGCUAAGGAUCAAACCAAGGGCUUUGUAUGUGCCAGGUGAGUGCUCUACACUGAGCCACAACCCCAGCCCCUGGGUUUUUCUUUUUUGUUUUUAUUUUUAUAGUGCUGGCGAUCAAACCCAGAACCUCAUAUGUGCUAUGCACGUGGUAUACCACUGAGCUACUCCCUAGUUCAGAAAGGCGAUUUUGUAUGAGCUGGUCUUUUAAACAGAUGAAGUUGUAAAGCAAGAGUUGGGUUUUCAGAGUAGUCACUUUGAUUUUUAAUUGACAGGUUGUGGAGUCUAGCCUGCUAAGUUCAAGUAUUUCUUGAGGUUAAAUCCAGAGAUUUAGAAUGGCUAUGCUGCAAGAGUUCUCCUAAGUUAGAUGGAGAGUUAGAGGUAAUCUACCUGCCAUCUUGGUGGAACUAACUAAACCAUGGAUGUUCAGACGUCCUUUAUGUGACAUUCUGCCUAUCUAACCUGUCACACAGAGCCAUUGUGGUUUGGCAGUCAAUUUUCAGGAGGCCUUCAACUUGUCCUCUGAAAUUCAUAGUAACAGUUAAUAAGGCUGGGCAUGAUGGUGCAUGCUGAGACAAGAGGAUUGCGAGUUUGAGGCCAGCCUCAGCAACUUAGUGAGACCAGAACUCAAAAAAAUAUAAAGGACUGGAGGCGUAGCUCAGUGACUAAGCACCCCUAGUACCAUUUAAUCCAUCUAACCUAGGAGAACUCUUGCAGCAUAGCCAUUCUAAAUCUCUGGAUUUAACCUCAAGAAAUACUUGAACUUACACUUAGUACCAUUUAAUCCCUAGUACCAUUAAAAAAUUAAAAAAAAAAAAAUUCCCUGUUUGGUCUAAGAAUUCACAAGCAUACCAUAUGGGAAAUCAAUAGGAAAUGUACUCGAGCCUUAAUGAUCAAUAAGUACCUAUGCCUCAGACUGUUUGUUUGUUUGUUAUUUUUAAUACAAGGGAUUGAACCCAAGGGUGCUUAAUCACUGAGCCACAUUGCCAGCCCUUUUUCACUUUUUAUUUUGAGACAGGGUUCUGCUAAGUUGCUUAGAGCCUAAGUUGCUGAGGCUGGCUGUGAUCUUCCUUCCUCAGCCUCCCAAGCCUCUGGGACUACAGGCAUGAGCCAUCACUCUAGGCUGCCUCAGACCUCUUUAUAAGGUAACAGAGUCACAUGGUUCAAACAUCAAAACAAUAUAAAAAGAUCUACAACAAAUCCUGCUCCUACCUCUGCCUAUCAAUCCCAUUUCUCCUGCUUCCUAUAGAUAACCAUUUUUUUUUUUAGUUGUAAAUGGACACAAUACCUUUAUUUAUUUAUUUUUAUGUGGUGCUGAGGAUCAAACCAAGCGGCUCAUAUAUGUUAGGCAAGCGCUCUGUCACUGAGCCACAAUCCCAGCCCUAUAGGUAACCAUUUAAGCAAAUACAAAUAUAUUCUUAUUUUCUCCCUUUCCUCCACAAAAUUUAGCACACUGUAUACUACGAAACAUAUACUAUGUUUCAUCUUUUCUUUUUAAACUUAAUCUUCCUUACAGUUGCUUCCUGUAGUCCUAAUUAUGGCACCUUUUUACCUUUUCAGGUUCUAUAGUAAUUUACAAAAUAGGAUGGCAUACCUGUAACUGCC
rnacentral:lncRNA from 1 species